UUAGUACUCCCUCCGUCCGAAUAUACUUGUCAUCAAAAUGGAUAAAAAGGGAUGUAUCUAGAACUAAAAUAUGUCUAGAUACAUCUCCUUUUAUUCAUUUUGAUGGCAAGUAUUUCCGGACGGAGGGAGUAUGCU
rnacentral:pre_miRNA from 1 species